CAGAAAUACAAGGAAGAUGAGAAGGCAGAAAUGAUGGAAGGAAACAAUGAGGAGGGGGUGAAGGACGUGUGAGACCCAAACUACAUCUGAGAUAAUUCUCAGA